rnacentral:rRNA from 1 species
CCUACGGGAGGCUGCAGUGAGGAAUAUUGGUCAAUGGGCGAGAGCCUGAACCAGCCAAGUCGCGUGAGGGAGUACUGCCCUAUGGGUUGUAAACCUCUUUUGUCGGGGAGCAAAAGCCGGACGUGUCCGGCUGUGAGAGUACCCGAAGAAAAAGCAUCGGCUAACUCCGUGCCAGCAGCCGCGGUAAUACGGAGGAUGCGAGCGUUAUCCGGAUUUAUUGGGGUUAAAGGGUGCGCAGGCGGAUUGUUAAGUCAGCGGUCAAAUCGUGGGGCUCAACCCCAUCCAGCCGUUGAAACUGGGGAUCUAGAGUGUGCGAGAGGUAUGCGGAAUGCGUGGUGUAGCGGUGAAAUGCAUAGAUAUCACGCAGAACCCCGAUUGCGAAGGCAGCAUACCGGUGCACAACUGACGCUCAGGCACGAAAGCGUGGGUAUCGAACAGGAUUAGAUACCCGGGUAGUC